rnacentral:rRNA from 1 species
CGGACGGGUAAGUAAUGCUUGGGAAUCUAGCUUAUGGAGGGGGAUAACUACGGGAAACUGUAGCUAAUACCGCGUAAUAUCGAAAGAUUAAAGUGUGGGACCUUCGGGCCACAUGCCAUAAGAUGAGCCCAAGUGGGAUUAGGUAGUUGGUGAGGUAAAGGCUCACCAAGCCGACGAUCUCUAGCUGGUCUGAGAGGAUGACCAGCCACACUGGGACUGAGACACGGCCCAG